rnacentral:rRNA from 1 species
CGGUUAUACCAAGUGAUUAAGUUAUAUUUUUAGGUAAAAAGACAGUUAGGUUUAUAGAAAUUAAUUUUAGUUUAUUAAACAUCUAUAAAAAAGUAAAAUUUGCAUAUAGAUAGCUAAUUUAAAAAUAACUACACAUACUGAAGCUGUGAUAAUCUUGAGGGAAACUGGGAUUAGAUACCCCAUUAUUCUUGAUUGUAAAUAGAAUUAAAUUUACCAGAGUACUAUGAAUAGUUAAAAAUUUAAAACUCAAAGGGCUUGGCGGUGUUUUAGACCUAUCAGGGGAACCUGUCUCGUAAUCGACAAUCCACGUAAUAUCUAACCUUAUUUUGUAAACAGUUUGUAUACCGUCGUCGUCAGGUAACUUUUAAAAAUAUAGAAGUUAGCAAUUAAAACUUAUUAGUUAAAACGUCAGAUCAAGGUGCAGCCUAUAGUAAGGAGAGGAUGGGUUACAGUUAUAAAAAUUAUAAUUACGGAAAUUUAAAUGAAACCUAUUUUGAAGGAGGACUUGAAAGUAAACUAAAAUACAUAAAUAGUUUGAAUGAGGCUCUG